GUGAGAAAGAGGCUUUGGGACUCUGAACCCUUCAACGGAAGGAAGCCAGGAAGCCGGCCGAGAAAGCUGUUCAGCUGCAAACUCAGUCUUCUUAGGAAAAAGGAAGUAUGACUCAGAAGACUGAGAACAAGCCCGGGGGCGAAGGACUUGAAAAACCCCUCCGAGGACCCAGCUGCACCCACGAGACUUACAGGACUAGCUCGGGCACCCCGAGGCUGAGCCCACACCACGAGUCUCUGUGGUCGGGAAUCCGGGCAUGACUUCCUUUGGUCCUUGGCUUCAGAGUAUCUCACAGGCUGCAGCCGAGGCGCUGGUCUCACCUAAAGGCUCAGCUGGGGAAGGAUCCCCAGUCAUGCUCACGUGGUUGUUGGCAGACUCAGCUCCUGGAAGGCUCUUACACAGAGGGCCCGUUUUUGGUCAAGAAGAACGGAGCUCCUUGCCACACGGGGCUCCCAACAUAGCAACGUGUCCACCAAAGCCAGCGAGGGAGAGGGUCUGCCAGCAAAACACCAUCGCGGACUUGUGAUCUGGUGAUGGAAGAGGCAGCCCCUGAACACCUGAGUCAGGCCUCCCUGGGGCCAUCCCAGAACAACCUGCCACGGCGAGGCCACAGUGGGCACUCCCGUGGGCAGUCCUGGCACCAGGGACGUGAGCAAAGAGCCUGUCACGUGGUCUCCUUGCUGCACCUUGUCUCAUCGUUGGCAGGUCUGAGGCCCCUGCCCCGGCCACAGCCUCUGCCAGCUGCCUCUGUUCUAAGCUCCACUGCCCCUGCUCACUGAUUCUUCUCUUCAGCCAGUUUCUUUCUAGUCCUUCCCCUGGCUGAUCCCCCGGGGUUUCUGGGCCCAAAUGCUCAGCCUUGACUUUGGCCAACUGCGGCCAUUGCUCUUGUCUUCUGGCCUGAGAGGGGCCAGGGCACCCCCAGGGUGCAGCCACCUUUGCUUCUGCAGCUCAGCUCAGCUGCCUUCUCCCCUGCUUGGCUCAGCAUCUCUGCUGCUGACUGUUCUCUGACUUGUGGCUGUCCCCGAGCUUGAACUUGUCAGAUGACUGAGGCCUUGCUGCGUGUGUCCAAUUUACGGGAAAGGUGUGGCUGCACUGACACUCUGCCAUGCAAUGUGGGCGUGUCCACGGCUCCUGACUUUCCAGAAAGCACUGUGGCAAUAUAGACCAAGAGCUUUAAAAUGCCCCUGUGCUCUGUCCCAGUAAUUAACCUGUUUUCUUAUUGGCUGAUUCAAAAUAUAUUUCUCGAUUACUCCUUA